rnacentral:rRNA from 1 species
GACGAACGCUGGCGGCGUGCCUAAUACAUGCAAGUAGAACGCUGAAGGAGGAGCUUGCUCUUCUGGAUGAGUUGCGAACGGGUGAGUAACGCGUAGGUAACCUGCCUGGUAGCGGGGGAUAACUAUUGGAAACGAUAGCUAAUACCGCAUAACAGUAGAUGUUGCAUGACAUUUACUUAAAAGGUGCAAUUGCAUCACUACCAGAUGGACCUGCGUUGUAUUAGCUAGUUGGUGGGGUAACGGCUCACCAAGGCGACGAUACAUAGCCGACCUGAGAGGGUGGUCGGCCACACUGGGACUGAGACACGGCCCAGACUCCUACGGGAGGCAGCAGUAGGGAAUCUUCGGCAAUGGACGGAAGUCUGACCGAGCAACGCCGCGUGAGUGAAGAAGGGUUUCGGAUCGUAAAGCUCUGUUGUAAGAGAAGAACGAGUGUGAGAGUGGAAAGUUCACACUGUGACGGUAUCUUACCAGAAAGGGACGGCUAACUACGUG